UGGGGAAUAUUGGACAAUGGGGGGAACCCUGAUCCAGCAACGCCGCGUGAAUGAAGAAGGCCUUAGGGUUGUAAAGUUCUUUUGUCCGAGAGCAGAGGCUAUCAAGUAAUAUGUGUAUAGCCGAGAGAGUAUCGGAAGAAUAAGCACCGGCUAACUACGUGCCAGCAGCCGCGGUAAUACGUAGGGUGCAAGCGUUAAUCGGAAUUACUGGGCGUAAAGAGUGCGUAGGCGGAUAUACAAGUUAGAUGUGAAAUACCUGAGCUCAACUUAGGAACCGCAUAUAAGACUGUAUUUCUAGAGUUAGUAAGAGGAUGAGAGAAUUCCGAGUGUAGCAGUGAAAUGCGUAGAUAUUCGGAGGAAAACCAGUGGCGAAGGCGCUCAUCUGGGAUAUAACUGACGC
rnacentral:rRNA from 1 species